ensembl:lncRNA
AAAAAAAUAAUAAAAUCCCCCAAGGUUUUGGUAAAGCUGAUUUUCUUCUUACUGGCAUGUCGAUAAAUGCCACGUAACCGUGAAGUACCGAAGACGCACACUGACUCUUGGUCAUUUUAAAUGGCCGGCGUUUUUAGUCAUGAUUUGAACUUGAAAUAAAUAAGCUGUUUAAAGAGUAUAAUCUGUAUCUAGAAUUACAGUGUGUCGUGCCAGUUAUAUGAUUUAAACGCAUCAAUCCACUCGCAUUGGUGAGCUUUUGUAGCACGUUUUCUUUUUUUUUUUUUCCUUCUCCAAACUAACAUGGUGUUCAUGAAUACUGUUCCUGUGUAUAUGCUCCUGCAAGUAGAUUUAUGUAGAAAUGCGUUUGCUUCGUAAUUGGGUCACUGCCGCUCUAAACUCUUGAUUGAUGUUACUGUAACAUGCAUAUGCAAAUGGAGACGUGCAUUAUUCGUGCACAUUCUCUUCAUGCUUAUUUCCUUAUGGUUUGGUUUACAGCAGAAGCAGAAUAGCGCUCUUUUUUUGCUUCAGAGAUUGGAAGUGCUAUUUAUAGAUACCUACUGGAGCACCAAGUGUGUGGUACUGCUGCAUCUCCCUCCUUCUCUCUGUCACGCUCACCUCCAAGCUUUCCCACUUUCCUCCCAUAUUUACCAUGCUGUUCUCACCUCUCAGAACUUCAUAUCAUUUGAUCGAGUUCCUGUCUGUAUUUCUAUUUUGGGUCUUCUUCUCCUUUUGUCUUCUGCAUCCUGGUCUAUUUUAUUUAUUAUUAUUUUUAUUUUUUACUUUGCUGUCGUUUUCUGAUGCUUCCAUGCUCUCGUUCUAUGCUGUUGUCUCUUUCUUUCCGCCAUGCUCCAUUCUUCUGUUCUGCACCUCGCCGUCCAUCGCUUUCUUUCUCUCUCGCUCUUUUUUUCUUUGUUUUUUUUUUCUCCUCGGGAUUGUUGAAUGUUAAUUAUUGAUGGUUGCUGGAGGGUGGGGAUUGCUGUUAUAUAUCAAGUAAGGAGCCUGGUUUCUGAUUGGACAUACAAGCCUUUUCACACAUCUAAAAAUAAAGGUGGCCAAACUCACACAAGAUUGUGUAUGUAACUUUAGGAUCAUUUGGGGGUGGGGGAUGCGUUUUGCAGAUGAAUAUGACUGAGAGAUGUAGAGACAAGCUUACUGAAACACGAACACGCACAGCUCCAGUUCUGUUUAAUCUCCAUUAAACAGUGGUGCAGUGUUAACGUGCUACUGCAGUUGGCACGAUUGGAACGGACUGUUCUUGUUCCCUAAAUGAACGUGAAGCUUUCCAAACAAAGCAGCUUACUUUGGAAAUACUUAUACUCAAAUUUAUAGUAGAGAGAUGUACCGUAUUAGCUUUCACAGUAGCUGCAAUAUCUCUACCAACAUUUCAGGCUUAAUACUAAUAGUCACUUUUCAAAAAAGUGACAAAAAUAUACAAUGAGAGAAGAAAAACGGUCUGAAACUGAAAACGGUGAACUCAGUAACGUGGUCUUAAAUUAUAACAGAGUGUUCUUUGUUAACAGUUUUCUAAGCUUUGUUUUCGCUCCUCAAGUUUACGUUCGCCAUUCUGGCACAAAUCUCUUGUGUGGGCGGGGCUUAACGGCGAUUUACUCCGAUUGGCUGGUGAGAUUUGGAUAGACAGCUCCCUGACGAAGAAGAAGAGACUUCAGUGUUGUGAAUUUUGGAGAGCGUUCUGGAUGCGGUUCUCUGUAUAGUUAUAGUGUUUGUAUUUUGCAGUGGAGAUUACUUACUUAUUUAGUCAGUAUAGUAGUUUGUAAUGAAUAUUUGAGGUUUGGGUAAUCUCAUACGACUAUUGUAUUAUUAUUAUUUUUUUUAGAUGAGCCUCCAGGAGCAGCACGGAGCGUCAUCAUCAUCAUCGUUAUCCUCCUCGUCCUCCUCAGCUAGGCGCUCAAACUGUCGAGCCAAAUCUCACUAGCCAGUCAGAUGAACGAAGGCGAGAUCAAUCAGACAGGGUUUACAUGUGGAAAUACUCGUGUCUUAUUGGCUGAC